rnacentral:rRNA from 1 species
UACGGGGGGGGCAAGCGUUGUUCGGAAUUACUGGGCGUAAAGGGCUCGUAGGCGGCCAACUAAGUCGGAUGUGAAAUCCCCAGGCUUAACCUGGGAACUGCAUCCGAUACUGGAUGGCUUGAAUUCGGGAGAGGGAUGCAGAAUUCCAGGUGUAGCGGUGAAGUGCGUAGAUAUCUGGAGGAAUACCGGUGGCGAAGGCGGCAUCCUGGACCGACAUUGACGCUGAGGAGCGAAAGCUAGGGGAGCAAACGGG